AUAUUAUUUAUCAAUUGGCAAUUGUUACAGAGAGAGUAUUAUUUUAAAUAAAAUUGUUGUCAAGAACGGCACGCAUCUCAAAAAAACAAUGUAUCAAGGAAAAACAUGACAUGAAAGCAUGAUAAAUUAUGAGCGUGUUUUUUAAUAUUACUGUACCACACACACGCAAGAACUCAUAAACACACACCAAUAGCUUAAAAGCAACAGCAACAUCAUCAUGAGAAAAAGAAAAAUGGAGAAAAUGGAACAAUUUAUAUUUACAAAAUAAAUGGAUGUAAUCCACAAAACACAAGCAAUCAUGACGAUGGCACAAAUGUUUGCACGAAGAGAUGAAAAAUGUUACCCACCAUGGAAAAGAAUACCAACAAAUCUAUUACACAAUGAGGAUAAUAACAAAAGCAAUCUUCGACUGGAUAAGCGGUUUCCUUCAGCCUUCUUUUUUUCAUACUAUAAAUUGUAGAAGUUAGAUGGAUGGACUCACAUCGGAUCAAAGGAUUUGGACCUCAACACUCACCAAUACAACGGAGUCGAGUAGUUUUAAUAGAAGUUCAACGUUCGUUCAUACUACAAUGAAAACUAUUAUUUUAAACAUUUAUUUUAGGAAAAAUGCUUCUUUUUUCUUGCUUUAUUUUUUUUUAAAGAUAUACUUUUAUAAUCUUUUGGUUUUUGUUUGUUUCCAAUGCUUUUAUUAUAUUUGAUUUCUUUUAUUUUCUAAUAAAAAUACAUAC